rnacentral:lncRNA from 1 species
UUAAGUGGGACGCCACCACAGCACGCUUUGACCGGCGAUGCUAGGUCUGCGUCCAGGAUCCAAACCUGCGAACCUAGGGCUGCCGAAGUGGAGCACAUGAACUUAACAGCUAUGCCACUGGGCCAGCCCCAAAGUUAGUAUUUUUAUAUCAUCUUGCAAAGCACCUACAUAAAGACGACCACACAGUUUCCCCAGGUGCUCACACCUAUGCUUAUUAUUUCUACAUAAUGAUUUGAUAUUAAAUAAAUCAUUGUGUGGAGGAAGCCAGAAUGCAGACGCAGAUUUCUAUAAUCCUCAGGGUUAAAAAAAGAAGAAAAGAAAAGGCAGUUUCCUAAGCUCCCUCCUCUCCUGCGGGAGCCACGGGCUUCCCUGUCACCUGUGCCUGCCCCCGUGGAGAGCUGACACUCACGGAGCACGCACUCUGAUGUGACCAUCAGUCUCCACAUGCGUCAAACCCCCGUAACAGUCACAACCCUCAAGGGUGCUUGUGCUAUUAUUAUGACCCUUACUGGAGAAGUGAGGGAACUGAGGCAGGAAGAGGUUGAGCAAGAAGCCCAAGGUCACAGAGAGAGCUGGUAGCAGAGCUGGCAGGAAACCCAGGACACCUGGGUCCAGAGCCUGGACUUCCUCCCUCCCCCCCCGCCCCGCCAGGCUCCUGCCAUGUCACCCCGUGUGUCAACACAAAGACUGUCCCACUGCAGCUCUGCUGCCUUCCAGGCAAAGGUUCAGCUCAUUCUCAAGAAAGCUCCAUGGGCCGAGUUCAGUGAAAAUGAGCAGCAGGCACUGCAAACAUUGGGCCAAAGAGGGAAAACCACUGGAAGUUGCUGGCGAUGGUCUGCGGCUACGAAUGCCGGAUCUAGGCUACUUUCAAGCACGUGUCUUCACUUUCCUGGCUUCUUCAGGAAUGUUUGGGGCUCACUGUUUCAGUGUGCAGCACUUCCUGGAGCAGAGAAAGACGGAGAACUGGAGGCUGACUUAGUAACUGUGUGGUGCUGGAAAAGCUUCUCAUUCUCCAGGCCUCAGGUUCCUCACCUGUAAAUGACAGUGAUGAGUCAGGCUGGUGCUCAGUUCUCCCUGGUGCUAUCAUGCUCUAACUGGGACUGGCAGAGGUAGCCUGGGUUAUUAAAAUCUGCGUCCACAGAGCUUAGCUCCUGUGGAGAGCUUUUAAAAAUCUGCGUGUUGGGCCCCACCUCCAGAUACUGAUUUAAUUAAAGGAGACGGGGCUCAGGCACCAGUGCGUCUUGUUUUUAACUCAGGUGAUUCUGCUAAGGAGGCAGCUCUGAGAACCAUGGCUCUGGAGAGUUCUCAAACUUGUGUAUUCAUCAAAAAAACCUGGAGGGCUUUUUCCCACCCCAAACUUUCUGAUUCAGUAGGCUUGGGUGUGGGGAAUUUCUGCCCCCCAGGACAUAGCUGUAUAUUCUAGUUGCAGGUCCUUCUGGUUGUGCUGUGUGGGACGCUGCCUCAGUGUGGCCUGAUGAGCGGUGCCAUGUCUACGCCCAGGAUCCAAACCAGCGAAACCCUGGGCCACUGAAGCGGAGCACAUGAACUUAACCACUCGGCCACGGGGCCGGCCCAGUCACCUACCUUUCGAUGCAGCGAUUUCUUUCCCGGGAAAUUUAUUCUCUAGCCAUAUUCACACAGGAGCAGACUGUGUCUGUGACACUAUUUGUAAAGGCAAAAAAAAACCCCAAGCAACCAACUGGCUACCAACAGGAGACAUCCACACAAGAGAAUAUUUUUUUGUCAUUAAAAAUUAAAUGAAGUAUCCAAUUCUAUGCAGGGGCAUGGGAAGAUGACCAUGAGAUACUGGAUAAAUUUGCUUACUGUGUGACCUUAUACAAGUUACUUAACCUCUCUCAACCUCAAUUUCUUCAUCUCUAAAGUGAGGACAAUAUUAUUGAAGUAACAGGGUUGCCGUGCAGAUGAAAUGAUGAUACAUAUCAAGUGUUUUGCAUAGUGCCUGGCACAGCAAAAACGCUCUAUUAGUAAUAUUGUCAUUGUUAAGAGGAAAAAAAUGAAAGCUUCAAAACAGCACGUAUAAGUGCUUUGCUUUUGUUAAAUCCAACUUAUGCCAUAGGAAAAAAAAUCAUACUUUUUAAAAGUCUGAGAUUUGGAGGAUAGAGAACUUCUCCUUUUUACUUAAUACAUGUUGGUAUUUAUAACACUGUCAAGAAUGACCACAUUACUUUAAAAGUGACGAUGAAACGUAGUUUUCAAAAAGAUGUGUGAGACUCAGACUGUGGAGUGUUGCUAAGUUGUUUCCACCAGCAUUUCCUCUUUCUGCUGUUUAGCUGAAAGUUUCUGCUUAAAAACUCACUUCUGCUCAGUGCUCUCACCUAGUGUCUCUGUGGAGUGGACAGAGGUAUCGUGACAGUGAAGACCAAGGACUCAACAGAGAAAAUAUUCUGCCACCAGCUCACACUCAGAAGGAACAAGGAGCGGUUUGCAGUUUUGACAACCAGAAGCCAGGCCAUAUUGUUAACGACAGAGGACAGACUGAAUCCUAUAGCUCUGAUGCCCCAGUCAAAUCUGCAAGGGCACUGGAAGGACAGUGUGAUAUAUAUAUAUAUAUAUACACCCCUAAAAAAAAAAUCUCAGCGGGUUACUUCAAAUAAAGUGCAAACCAGAACACUGUGGAUAUUUAGAAUAUGGAAGACGAGAGAUUUGAGCCAAAAAAAUGUUUGCCUACACAAUAUUCUUCCUUUCAUUGUCUGCCAGGAGAAU